rfam:Ajellomyces capsulatus NAm1 scaffold_4 genomic scaffold, whole genome shotgun sequence.
UCGCCUUUGCCAACACUCUGGCCCUUACCACCCUGUUCUCUGGGAAAUGUUACCUACGGUAAAGGCCUAUUUUGGUGCAAAGAAGAUAGAAGCAUUGACCAACUACUCACCGCGGUAUCUUUUUGGAAAUUAAGUAUUUUCGUUUCCCGUUCGCGGGAAGGGGAGGGCUUGAUUAAGUGGAUAUGGUGGUCCAUCUUUUGUGGUCAACAU